rnacentral:rRNA from 1 species
GAGUAACACGUGGGCAAUCUGCCCUUCACUCUGGGACAAGCCCUGGAAACGGGGUCUAAUACCGGAUAACACUCUGUCCCGCAUGGGACGGGGUUGAAAGCUCCGGCGGUGAAGGAUGAGCCCGCGGCCUAUCAGCUUGUUGGUGGGGUAAUGGCCUACCAAGGCGACGACGGGUAGCCGGCCUGAGAGGGCGACCGGCCACACUGGGACUGAGACACGGCCCAGACUCCUACGGGAGGCAGCAGUGGGGAAUAUUGCACAAUGGGCGAAAGCCUGAUGCAGCGACGCCGCGUGAGGGAUGACGGCCUUCGGGUUGUAAACCUCUUUCAGCAGGGAAGAAGCGAAAGUGACGGUACCUGCAGAAGAAGCGCCGGCUAACUACGUGCCAGCAGCCGCGGUAAUACGUAGGGCGCAAGCGUUGUCCGGAAUUAUUGGGCGUAAAGAGCUCGUAGGCGGCUUGUCACGUCGGAUGUGAAAGCCCGGGGCUUAACCCCGGGUCUGCAUUCGAUACGGGCUAGCUAGAGUGUGGUAGGGGAGAUCGGAAUUCCUGGUGUAGCGGUGAAAUGCGCAGAUAUCAGGAGGAACACCGGUGGCGAAGGCGGAUCUCUGGGCCAUUACUGACGCUGAGGAGCGAAAGCGUGGGGAGCGAACAGGAUUAGAUACCCUGGUAGUCCACGCCGUAAACGUUGGGAACUAGGUGUUGGCGACAUUCCACGUCGUCGGUGCCGCAGCUAACGCAUUAAGUUCCCCGCCUGGGGAGUACGGCCGCAAGGCUAAAACUCAAAGGAAUUGACCGGGGGCCCGCACAAGCAGCGGAGCAUGUGGCUUANUUCGACGCAACGCGAAGAACCUUACCAAGGCUUGGACAUNAUANCGGAAANCAUCAGAGAUGGUGCCCCCCUUGUGGUCGGUAUACAGGUGGUGCAUGGCUGUCGUCAGCUCGUGUCGUGAGAUGUUGGGUUAAGUCCCGCAACGAGCGCAACCCUUGUUCUGUGUUGCCAGCAUGCCCUUCGGGGUGAUGGGGACUCACAGGAGACUGCCGGGGUCAACUCGGAGGAAGGUGGGGACGACGUCAAGUCAUCAUGCCCCUUAUGUCUUGGGCUGCACACGUGCUACAAUGGCCGGUACAAUGAGCUGCGAUGCCGCGAGGCGGAGCGAAUCUCAAAAAGCCGGUCUCAGUUCGGAUUGGGGUCUGCAACUCGACCCCAUGAAGUCGGAGUUGCUAGUAAUCGCAGAUCAGCAUUGCUGCGGUGAAUACGUUCCCGGGCCUUGUACACACCGCCCGUCACGUCACGAAAGUCGGUAACACCCGAAGC